CUUCUUGCAUGAAUAUACUCAGACUAACAAUUUGCAGCGUUAGAUACUCUCAUCCCAAGAGAAAUCAUUUGAGUACUUUCCAGAGCCUCAUACUGCGUAUUCGAGGUGGGCGCCCCUUCUGGGUGCCAUCGGUGCAUAGACAGUUCCGAAAUACACUUCGAUCUAAGCGUCUUUUGAACGUCAAGUUCCGGGUCAGGUGACAAGUUCAACGAAUGAUCACAUCAUAUCUCAAGAUCCACCUUCAAGUUGAAUUGUCAGAGGUGACGUAAUGGCCAUAUAUUUUGGCAUAAAACCUUGGUUUCCGUUUAAAACAUACGGAGACCCUAGACCACCCCCUAACGACCUUAAAUCAGAUAAAACCCUGUUGGGUUAUUGAUAAAGUCUUUAAGGAUUUAUUUAGGAUCUCCGGGUGAAUCGGGUAAACACGUUCCGUUCCCUAUGAUGAUUACAAAUCAGGGUGUAACGAUCAACUCACCCUCAACCUGGAGGAAUAUUCCCUCCAAGAAAGGGGUGAACAUACUCGUACUCUUGUUCCCCCUGUAGGUGCGCGCGAGGAGGAGGCGGCGAGCGGAGCAGUGCGGCGCGGCGCGGCGCGCAACGCCCUUACUUGGCUCGGCUACAGAUUUAAAAACGGUACGUGAUGCCCAUAUGCUUUCCAGUGAGCUUUCGACUUUGUAAAAAAGACAUGACCUGUGACUUAGGCUUGCCGCGCGGAGAAGCCGACGACGGACAAGCAAAGCAGAAGGCGCAAAGGAAGUCGAGGGCCGCGUCGGAGAGCGGAGGAAGAGAACGCGGAUAUUUUCCCUCCAGUGGGGAGAGUUUCUCUGCGUGGUCUUAGAGAAGGAGGAGAGUGGUGUUCAAGGACUCGUGACGCGACGACAAUGCAAGAAGGAGUAGGGCCGAACGCCGCACGUGACGACCAGCCCUGUCAUCCGGAGGCCUUGGCGUGGAAAACUCAGGACAUGCCCUCUUCCCACUAUUCCAAAAACCCCCCGCGAGACGCGCUGAUGACUGAAGAAGCAGUGCCUGCGGGGCCUGAGGCUGCUGAUGAAGGGGCUGCUGCUGAUGAAGGGACUGUAGCUGUUGGAGGAGCUGCUGUACCUCCUGUGGCUGGGGUUCAGGUCACGGAGACGAGGACGACGACAGUGCUUGCGUUGGCUGGCCAAGUUCACCUUACCUUGUAGAAAAGUUGUUGUAACCGGACGAAUUAGAAAUGCCCGUGGCAUCAUCUAAUAUUAACAUAGAUAAGGGGGGAGAGAUAUAUGAGGGUUCCUAAGAACUGCUACACGCCAUUCUGCAGACGAUAGUUAGUUUAAACCUUAAGAACUCUUCCUUGGGGAGGGUGACCUCAACACCGUAGGUGCGUGUACUCCACGUUGACACGGUACCACCGUACCGAAACCUCGUCCUCGAUACGAACGACGGUGGCGCUCUAUAAGUGCGUGUAGGUGUAUACGCGGUAGGUAUGUGUACUCCACGUAGACAGGGUACCACAGGAGCGAAAUCUCGACCUCAACACGAACGAUGAAGGCGCUCUAUAAGUACGUGUAGGUGUAUACACGGACUGGAACGGCGGAGAUGGACUACACUACGCUAAAACCGUGUACGUUACGACUUCUCCGUGCACUGUUAAAGGUAAACGGAUACGAAAGAAAAUGAUAAGAAAAGAAAAGUAUGUACAAGUAAUGCGAACCAAUGCCGUUGCUCUAUAGUAGAUUCCUUACUAAUUAGUAGUUCUCCACAUGUUCCAUUUCGUUCCUUAUGUAGUUGACAGAACUCAUAACCGCUCACGAAUGUAGUAGAAUUACGGUUACCUAGAAGCG
rnacentral:rRNA from 1 species